CCCCCCCCCCCGCCGCCUCACUCGGGUAGAACGGCGUUAGCUGAGAGCCACAGCGACGCGUCUGCUCAGAGUGGACACCACCCAGCAACGCAGCUCAUUUCUCCAUGAGUGAGCUGAGGGUUUGCGUCAAGAUGGGAAGCACGCGUGGGGUUAUUGGGGGAGCUUGAAAGAAAGAUGGGGGUGUGAAUUGAGCGUGGAAAUAUUUCUGUUCAUUCUGGAGACGAAAUUCAGAGUCAUUAAAAAACUGGCUUGGUCGGAGUAAUCUCCUUCCUGAGCAGAAGUUGUAAAUACAUCUCAAAAUGCCUCUCUGGUGAAAUGCUGAUAGUUUCUACGUGUUGCACUAAUGGCCAAUGCUCGUGUAUGGUCAAACACCACAAGCACGUUCGGCUCCUGUACCUGCUGCUGUUCCCGUGAGACCCUUGAGACCCUUGAGACCGUUGGUCCCCCCACCCCAGCUCUUGCAAAAGAACACUGUGUUAAAAGUCAAUAGAACAGUCUCUCUGUAAUGAGUCAUUUUUUGAGGGGGAAAAUUCCACUUAUUUUCCUCUGAUUCUUUUUGUCAUAUUGUGCUCUGAGCAAUUUCAAUUAGGAGGGUUACAUUUUAGUAAUCUGUGCGGCUUGAAUUGAUGCCUGCUCCUCGUGACGGGAGCCUUUUAGACUUCCUCCAGAAGCUUCAAGGAUACAAAACUAAUUGGAGUUUUGACGCUGUUUUACAUCUCAGUAAUUUUAUUUUGGGGGCUUGGUGUUACUUCGCUGUCAAAUUAAAUCAGCGCCUGUGUUGUGCAAAUCUGAACAGCACAGAUAAAAUCCCUCAGUAUUCCAAGCCAUUGCGCCCCUGUGCCGAAGAAAAUAGCAGAUCGACGUCAGCCAACCCACUGAGCCGAGCCUCAGGUUUCCUGCCGUCCUCUCUCUCUCCUUAAAUGGGAAAGGAAAGACUUAAAGAAGUUUACACUGCUGCAUUUCAAUAAAAUUUUGUACUUGCUUUUGGUAUGGUUUUGUACAAUUUGAAAUUUAUAGCCAAGCUCUUUUGGCUUAACUUUGGGGUGAUGAUGCUCACACGACUCCUUGUACUUCAAAGGCAAGGCACACAUCUGAACAUAAUUUAGUAAGUCCGUGCCUGUGAUUAAGUAUGGUCCAACUUCGAUAUCUUCAUGGGAAUUUUCCAAUUUUGGUGUUAGCCAUAGAAAACUUUACCACAAGACAGGCUUCCCUUAGUUACUUAGCACAUGUACGUGGUCAUUUCAUACACACCGAGAAAUAUCCUAGCUAAUAACCACAUACAAAGGGAGGUAAGAAAGGACUCUCAACACAAAUUUAGUAUUCUUUAAAAACCAAACCAAAGCAAAGAGAUGAUUCUUUACCCUUUGGAAGAUCUGCACCGUUGUACUGAGAGAGGCAGUGUAGGAAAGCAGCCAAGAUCUAGAGGGGACAGAUGAAACCCUGGAUGCCUUUGCCCUGGACAUCAUAGAGAAGACUGUCCCUGUACCCCAGUUUCCUUACCUAAGAAAGAUGAUCAUGAUAAGCUGAAUGAAAGUCCCACCAGGUUCCAAUGCUGGUGAGAGUUAAUCACAGAGAACUUACCCUUCCAUUUCAAUACAUGGGCUCCUUGGCUUGGAGAUGUUCGCCAAGGAAAACCAUUGCCUCAGGAAUCUUGCAUGAGAGAAAUUUGGGUGGGGAUUGUGAGGAACUGAAGCAUAGCCACCUUCAACAAAUUACUGCUAUGCAGAAUGUGAGUUUAAUGAAGCUCCAUCUAAGUUUUCUCCAGAGUCCCAGACUUCAGGGUGUAGUCCUACAGCUUAUAAAUGUUGGCUCGCAAUUCAAAAAGUAAAAAGCGAAACCAGAACACCGAUCUGUGAGCGGAAGAAAACAUACUUGGCUACCUUUUCCACUUUUUCUUGGAAGACACUGGUGUCAGGGGUAGAAGAGUACCCUCCAGAUCAUUCUUCCCUAAAUUGUCAACUGGACCAUUGAACCCAAAUCAUAACCAGGAGAAACUGUGAUUCAUUUGCAAGUCAUCCAAAGGAUGGGUGGAACGUUUCUGAGCUCACAGGAAAACAUGGCUAGUUGCUUGAACUCAUUAAAUAUUGGUGUCAGGAUAUGGAGAAUCUGGUGUGCUAGAUCCACCUGGAAUGAGUCUUUUCACCCAUGCUUUGCACCUGUGUGAGAAUAUACAUAGUUUGGUCUGAAGAGCACUGGGAGACAUUAGUUCACCAUUGGAAGAGACAGAGACAGGGAAAAUCACCAGCUGCUGUCACUUGGAGCUCUUGAGGGUGACCGACGCUCACAUAUGCAGUCAACUGUUGGGACUUCCUACUCUACCACUUGUUCAGAAUCAGGGAAGCCAUUAGCUUCUUGGUUGUUGAAAUUUACUUCUUUAUGUGGUUGAACUAUUUUGUUUUGGUAAAAUAAAAUUUAAAGUAAAAAUCACUUAUGCAACUUGUUAAUAUUUUAACCGAACAACUAAUAUUUUGUAAAAUUUGGAUAUUUGAUUAUUCCUAACUAGUGGACCAGACAACCCAUCCGCCAUAUUGGUAUCCCAUUCUGCUUGACAAAAGGAUUAGGAAAUAGUGAAUUAUCACAUUUUCUUGAGCUGUUUCUUUUUCUCUUGUGCUUUAUUUGUCAUUGUGUUCCAUUUUAUAGUUUGUGACAUAGAAAUGUGUUUUAAAAUUCUUAAAAUGUAAGUAAACUUGGAAGCCACACGAGGGCACUAUCCACAGUGCAAUAAUCCAAAACUUUCCCCCUUGGAGAUGAGGUUUCUUGAGUAUUUAAUAUUAUUCACCAACAGAGAAAAUGUCCUUACCAAGAUUGCACCUCCUUAUGAAGAUAACUUAUGUAUUCUUUGCAAGAACAAGUAGACUUACUUUACAACCCAGCACAGUACUCUUCUGUGUAUCUCUACCUCUGGAAGACACAUGAAGUCAGUGAGGGCCUGGUGCACUGGAAGAAAAAGUGGGAAUGAGAACUUGAAAGGAACAAACAUACUAAUUGGUGGGCUGUAAUUGCUUUGUUCCUAACUCAGUAACCUCUAAUAAUAAUAAUUUCAUCCAUGUCUCUAAACAUCAGUCUUUGGCAGGACAUCUUACUGCUUUUUGCCAUAUAUACCAUGUUUUCCCAUAAUAAGACUGGUUCUUACAUUAAGUUUUGCUUCAGAAGAUGCAAAUAGGCCUUAUUUUCAUGUAUAACAACCCAUAUUCCUGUCAUGUCCUUUCUGGAGCAUCGUCCUAACUCUCUGAAGCUCGAAUUCUAGCCCGAACUUCUUGUGCCUCCAUUUCCUAUAGAAUCAUUGGCCCCAGUGUCUCAUGUCCAGCAAUAAAGAAUUCCUUAAAUGAGUGCUUCUUGUCCGUGCAGCCUGCGGGUAGCGUACUGGCAACCCAGCUGUCAGUGAUUUUAUAUCAUGCAUUCUUCGCCCAUGCCGUGACCUCUUGCAGGCUGGGUUUAACCAAGUUUCCAUUAAAUCAAGCGUUAAGUGAAGACGUACCCGACAGGAGCGGCCACGAGAAUGAUGACAGCCAAGAAGGAUGCGGCCACACAGAUGUGAUGAAUAAUCGCAGGCACCAAAAUUCAGAAAGUGUUUAUUUCACACGAGUGCCCUAAGCAUGUCCAUGAUAACGCACAGCAUACGCAAUGAUGAAGCUUCGUGCUGGGCCCAACCCCAGCUGUUUGUGGCCGCACGCUCACGUCAUCCACGAGUUGUGUCUGCACUCCGGCGGGUCAGCAGGCAAUAAAU